GCACUAAUGACUGGCUUGGCCGUUGCACCUGGGGUUCAAAUUGACCGGCGGACAUACCUCCACUGCACUUCUGGAAAGUCCUGGACAGACCAGUGUUCUGUGGCUGCGGUGGAGUCCUCGGCGGACUGGUGGACCGGUGUCCUGGCUUAGCGGCGGCGGCGUCAUGGGAUUGUAGGGUCGGACAGCUGAGGUUGCCGUGGCUGUGUUCUCUGGCUCAGUUAGUCAGGUUUCUCCCCUCCACAGCUGCACAGGGUCUGUGACCUCCAGUUUUAAUAACUGCGUUUAUAUUAACAUUAGUGUGUGUUGUGUGCCUGACAUACUUUUGUAUAAUAAUAAAACUGUAUUUAUAUAUUUGUA